rnacentral:rRNA from 1 species
AGGGAAUCUUCCACGAAUGGACGCAAGUCUGAUGGAGCAACGCCGCGUGAGUGAAGAAGGCUUUCGGGUCGUAAAACUCUGUUAUUGAAGAAGAACGUGUGUGACAGUAACUGGUCAUGCAGUGACGGUAUUCAAUCAGAAAGUCACGGCUAACUACGUGCCAGCAGCCGCGGUAAUACGUAGGUGGCAAGCGUUGUCCGGAUUUAUUGGGCGUAAAGCGAGUGCAGGCGGUCUUUUAAGUCUGAUGUGAAAGCCUUCGGCUUAACCGAAGAAGGGCAUCGGAAACUGGGAGACUUGAGUGCAGAAGAGGAGAGUGGAACUCCAUGUGUAGCGGUGAAAUGCGUAGAUAUAUGGAAGAACACCAGUGGCGAAGGCGGCUCUCUGGUCUGUAACUGACGCUGAGGCUCGAAAGCGUGGGUAGCAAACAGGAUUAGAUACCC